GAUACCCUGGUAGUCCACGCCGUAAACGAUGUCUACUUGGAGGUUGUGCCCUUGAGGCGUGGCUUCCGGAGCUAACGCGUUAAGUAGACCGCCUGGGGAGUACGGCCGCAAGGUUAAAACUCAAAUGAAUUGACGGGGGCCCGCACAAGCGGUGGAGCAUGUGGUUUAAUUCGAUGCAACGCGAAGAACCUUACCUGGUCUUGACAUCCACAGAAGAAUCCAGAGAUGGAUUUGUGCCUUCGGGAACUGUGAGACAGGUGCUGCAUGGCUGUCGUCAGCUCGUGUUGUGAAAUGUUGGGUUAAGUCCCGCAACGAGCGCAAC
rnacentral:rRNA from 3 species